rnacentral:rRNA from 2 species
UCUGGUGUCAGCCGCCGCGGUAAAACCAGCACCUCAAGUGGUCAGGAUGAUUAUUGGGCCUAAAGCAUCCGUAGCCUGCUUUGUUAGUUUUCGGUUAAAUCCAUACGCUCAACGUAUGGGCUGCCGGGAAUACUGCAAAGCUAGGGAGUGGGAGAGGUAGACGGUACUCGGUAGGAAGGGGUAAAAUCCUUUGACCUAUUGAUGACCACCUGUGGCGAAGGCGGUCUACCAGAACACGUCCGACGGUGAGGGAUGAAAGCUGGGGGAGCAAACCGGAUUAGAUACCCGGGUAGUCCCAGCUGUAAACUAUGCAAACUCGGUGAUGCAUUGGCUUGAUGCCAAUGCAGUGCCGCAGGGAAGCCGUUAAGUUUGCCGCCUGGGAAGUACGUACGCAAGUAUGAAACUUAAAG